CGGCGCCCUUCCUAGCAUGAGCCAAUGGGGAAGGCGAAAAGGGGCGCGCGGGCAAAAAAGGCCCGGCGUGGCCCCGUCUCCCAAAGUUCCAUGUUCCGAGCCGCAGAAGUUUCUCGGGGUCUUAAAGUGGGAUUUCCCUGCCGUCUUCUCCCGUUGGUCACUGGCUCUUGAGGGGAGCCCUCUGGAGAGGCCUACGUGGCAAGAAACAGACCUCUUGCCAACAGCCAAGGGAGGGAUCUCGGAAGUGGAUAUUCUAGUCCCAGUCAAGCCUUCAGAUGACUGCAACCCAGCGUGACAUCUUGACUGCAACGUCAUGAGAGACGCUGAGCAAAAGCCACCCAGCUAAGUGAUUCCCAAACCCCUGGCCCUCGGAAAGUAUGUGAAGUAAUACAUGCUUGUAUUAACCUUCGAAGUUUUACAGUAAUUUGUUAUCCAGAAAUAGAUAGCAAAUAAGAUUUUGAUAAGGAGUGUGGGGUGUGGCUGUAACAAAAACCUAAAAUGGGAGAGGGGCUUUUGCACUGGGCAGUGAGCAAGGGCUCAAGGACUUUGGAGGGCCCGUUAGAGGAGGCCUAGAUUGCCUUGAACAAGGCGUUAGUCAAAAUUUGAACCACGAGGAGCCUGCCACUGAGGGCUUGAAGGCAAGCGAGGAACACGUUAUCCGAAGCUGGAGGAAAGAUUUUUGCUGGGAAGUGGCUGAAAGUUUAGCAACACUGUCACCUGCAGUUUUGUUGAAAGUAGAAAAUGUAACUAGUAAGCUGGGUGAUCCAGCUAAGGAGAUUUCCAGCCAAAGUGUUGAAGGGGCUGCCUGAUUUCUUCUUGCUUACUUGGAGUAAAAGGCAAAGGGAGAGAAAAGAUAAAGGAAGAAAUGUUAAACACGAAGGAGCUGGGGCUUGAAGGGCUUGAAAAUUCUCAACCUCCCUGUGCAGUGAAGAAUUUUACCCAAGAAGAGGUUCGGCCUUUGUCCUGGCUCCUGGGAGGUGACAUCUAAACCCUUGGAAUUUCCCAAGUGAUAGGUGUGUCUUGGCUACUCGUGAUGGACCCCUUGGACCACACCUGAUAGUUUAUUCUGACAAGACAACUGAGGAUGGGGACUCUCCAUGCCAGAAAAGCCAACCAUGGGAUUUGAGGGCUGGGGCUUUGGGCCCCAUGAAAUCAGCCUGACCUCCAAGGAAAAUGUGUGUGUGUGCUGGGGAAGGUGGAGAUGCAGAUGGAACUCAACUACAUUGGCAAUAACUCAAUUGAUCAUGCCUACACAACGAAACCUCAAUAAAAACUCUGGAGACCAAAGCUGGGAGAAUUAUAUGAACAGAAGCAUUGCCAGCUUGGCCUGAAAGGGACAGAGAUGGUACAAAAUGAAAAGAGACCUUCGGGCCAUCAAAGUUCUAAAAGCAGGAAGCAGGUUACAAAAACCACUCAGUUGCAAAUACACGUUACCUUUUUAUGAAAAAGGAAGGAUGACUCAGAGUGAAUUGCCAAGAGCCCAGAGGGUGGAGCCAAGAACCACGGAGAAAAACUCCUGGGAUGUUUUUGAGUCAGAAUGGGUUCUGACCAAGGAACUUUUGACAUUUGCCCAACUGGAUUUCAAAACUGCUGUGGACCAGUGAUACCUGUGUGCUCUCCUUUCCCCUAUUUUUUGAAUAGGAGUAUUUUUGGCAGUUAUUCUAUGCCUGUCCCAUCACUGGAUGUUGGGUACGUGGGUGGCAGACAACUUGUCUCUUUAGUUCACAGACCAACAGAUUGAGAGGAACUGUAUUUGAGGUGCUUUGCCACACCCAGACCUGACUGAGGUGACGAGAUUCUGGACUUAAAGUUGAUGCUGUAGUGGGAAGAGACUUUGGGGGACUUGGGAGCGGGUGAGUGAGUUUUGUGUGAAGGAGAGACAUAAAUCCCAACGACCCUGGCCUUUUGGUGUUCCCACUUGUUUGUGGCUGCCUUCCACAUUGUACCAGGGUUGGUCUGUAUGACCAAUACAAUACAGCAGAAGUGAUGGUAUGUCACUUCUGAGAUUAGCUUAUAAAAGACUGCAUCUUCUGUCUUAGGUUCACUCUCUGUCUCUUGGAUUACUUGCCUUGGGGGAAGCCAGCUGCCAUGCUGUGAGGUUGCUUAGGCAGCCUCUAUGCAGGCCCACAUGGUGAGGAACUGAGGCCUCCAGCCAAAGCCAGUGAGGGACCGAGGCCUGCCAACAACCAUGUGUGCGAGUUUGGAAUUGAAUCCUCUAGCCCCAGAUGACUAUGGCCCUGACUGAGAGCUUGACUUCAACCUCAUGACAGACUCAGAAUAAACCACCCAGCUAAGCUGCUCCCAGAUUCCUGAUUCUCAGAAACUGUGUGACCUAAUAAAUGUUUGGGGUUUUUUUUUAAGUUUUUUUUCUUUUUGAUGUGGACCAUUUUUAAAGUCUUUAUUGAAUAUGUAGCAAUAUUGCAUCUGUUUUCUGUUUUGGUUUUUUGGCCCCGAGGCAUGUGGGAUCUUAGCUCCCCGACCAGGGAUUGAACCUGCACCCCCUGCAUUGGAAGGCGAAGUCUCAACCACUGGACUGCCAGGGAAGUCCCAUAAAUGUUUGUUUGAAGGUACUGAGUUUUGGGGUAAUUUGUUACACAGUGAUAUAUAGCUAAUACAUCCAUGCCACUGUCAUUUAUCUCUCCAGACCAUCAAUCAUCCAAACAUUAUCCAUCUAUCAUCCAUCCAACGGUCUAUCUAUCCAGCUACCCAUCCAAACAUACAUCAUCCAUCCAUCCGUCCAAAUACCUAAGCAUUACCCAUCCAUCUCUCUACCAUCAUCCACCUAGUGAAUUCAAUGACCCAUCUAUCCAUCCAUCCACUCAUCCCCUUAACCAUUCCACCGUCCUUCUCUAAAACUUAGAUAUGUCACCCAGAACCCAGAGGUAAAGACCGUUCCUUCCAUGCCAGCCCUUACCUGAGCUAUAUCUAGAUCUGUCUCCACUGCCUCAAGGUCUUUCCCAGAGGCGAAGAGUUUGUGUGCAUUCUCCACAUCCACAAGUAGUUCAUCUGGGAGAUCAGCCUGUGGGGAGAGAGAAUAAGAGACUUAAGGAAAUCUUGAGCCUGGGAGAUGUUAGGCAGUAAGGCAGUCUAAACAUUUGACCUCAGGGGUAGAAGUGAGGGUCAAAUGUCAGUCAGCUGGGACACCAAAGGGGUCAAAUAGCAAAUGUGAGUUUCUGCACCUGGGUGUUCAAAAGUCUGAGUGCCUGGGUGUAAAUUUUUUUUAUAUAUAAAUUUAUUUAAUUUUAUUUAUUUUUGGCUAUGUUGGGUCUUCGUUGCUGCAUGCAGGCUUUCUCUAGUUGCGGCGAGCGGGCUUCUCAUUGUGGUGGCUUCUCUUGUUGUGGAGCACGGGCUCUAGGCGUGCGGGCUUCAGUAGUUGCGGCACACGGGCUCAGUAGUUGUGGUGCAUGGGCUCUAGAGCACAGGCUCAGUAGUUGUGGCGCACAAACUUAGCUACUCUGUGGCAUGUGGGAUCUUCCCGGACCAGGGCUCGAACCAGUGUCCCCUGCAUUGGCAGGUGGAUUCUUAACCACUGCACCACCAGGGAAGUCCCUCGGGGUGUAGAUUGACAGAGCAAACAUCAAAGGUUCAAAAGACCAAAGCCUGAGGCCAAGAUAUUCUGCCCCUCUGGGGUUAAAUGUCUUGGAGUCUGGAGGAAAACAAUGCCCGGUCCAGCUUCCCAAGGGUAAAGAGUGAGGUCAAAGGUCACAGUCUAUUUCUCCAGUGGAGAGAAGAUA